rnacentral:rRNA from 1 species
UACGUAGGGUGCAAGCGUUAAUCGGAAUUACUGGGCGUAAAGCGUGCGCAGGCGGUUUUGUAAGUCAGAUGUGAAAUCCCCGGGCUUAACCUGGGAACUGCGUUUGAAACUACAAGGCUAGAGUGUGGUAGAGGGGGGUGGAAUUCCACGUGUAGCAGUGAAAUGCGUAGAGAUGUGGAGGAACACCGAUGGCGAAGGCAGCCCCCUGGGUCAAGAUUGACGCUCAUGCACGAAAGCGUGGGGAGCAAACAGG